rfam:Schistosoma rodhaini strain Burundi genome assembly, scaffold: SROB_scaffold0006416
AUCCAGCUGACUAGUCUCAAAUAGGACGAAAUGCCCAUCCUAGAU